CGAGGAUGUCCCCUAAUUUCAGUGCAGGGCAGUUGAUUGGCUGAUGAUGGACAGUUCAAUAAAUGGUCUUCUGUUGUUCCUCUGAUUCCCUGUCUGACUCUGUUGCCCUGGAGAGUCGAGGAAAGCACGGACUGCCCUACAGGGUCACUGUGCAGAGAGUGUGGCAUGCGCUGGGGGACACCAUGCCAGGGGACACGCUCACAGCCCUCUGGGGACCGUGUGUGACAGCCCAGGGUUGAGAGCGUGUGGGGCGCCUCAACAGGCGCAGUGUGCAGAGUGCGUCUCUCCACUUGUCCCACCCAGAGGGACUCCACGGUGCAACCACACCUAUGGGCUAAUAUGUCCAUAUCAGGAGGUGACAUCACAUCAUCCUGCCCAAAAAGGGGAACUGGCAGCAGCUGUCCAGCCACUCUCUGCCCUCACUGCAGUCUUGCUGUCCCCAAGCUGCUCCUGCCUCAUGGCACCAAUGGCGGUGGCCCUCAUCCUCGGUUGGUGGCUGGUGGCAGCGAGCAGUGCACGGAGAUUGCCCCGACCCUCCCUGUCACUGCACCCCAGCCAGGGGGUGUCGCUGGGGGACAAUGUCACCCUGCGGUGCCACCUGCCCCGGCUGGCUGCCUGGGUCUGGCUGUACCAGGAAGGAGGUUGGUCGUACAAGAAGCGGAAGGAGGAGGAACAGGACACGAC
rnacentral:lncRNA from 7 species